rnacentral:rRNA from 1 species
UACGUAGGCAGCGAGCGUUGUUCGGAGUUACUGGGCGUAAAGGGCGUGUAGGCGGCCUAUUAUGUUUGGUGUGAAAUCUCCCGGCUCAACCGGGAGGGUGCGCCGAGAACUGGGAGGCUAGAGUGCGGGAUGGGAGAGUGGAAUUCCUGGUGUAGCGGUGAAAUGCGUAGAUAUCAGGAGGAACACCGGUGGCGCAGACGGCUCUCUGGACCGUAACUGACGCUGAGACACGAAAGCGUGGGUAGCAAACAGG